rnacentral:rRNA from 1 species
CUACGGGCCGCUCCAGUGGGGAAUAUUGCACAAUGGGCGCAAGCCUGAUGCAGCCAUGCCGCGUGUAUGAAGAAGGCCUUCGGGUUGUAAAGUACUUUCAGCGGGGAGGAAGGGAGUAAAGUUAAUACCUUUGCUCAUUGACGUUACCCGCAGAAGAAGCACCGGCUAACUCCGUGCCAGCAGCCGCGGUAAUACGGAGGGUGCAAGCGUUAAUCGGAAUUACUGGGCGUAAAGCGCACGCAGGCGGUUUGUUAAGUCAGAUGUGAAAUCCCCGGGCUCAACCUGGGAACUGCAUCUGAUACGGGCAAGCUUGAGUCUCGGAGAGGGGGGUAGAAUUCCAGGUGUAGCGGUGAAAUGCGUAGAGAUCUGGAGGAAUACCGGUGGCGAAGGCGGCCCCCUGGACGAAGACUGACGCUCAGGUGCGAAAGCGUGGGGAGCAAACAGGAUUAGAUACCCGUGUAGUC